UACGUAGGGUGCGAGCGUUUAUCCGGAAUUAUUGGGCGUAAAGAGCUCGUAGGCGGUUUGUCGCGUCUGCCGUGAAAGUCCGGGGCUCAACUCCGGAUCUGCGGUGGGUACGGGCAGACUAGAGUGAUGUAGGGGAGACUGGAAUUCCUGGUGUAGCGGUGAAAUGCGCAGAUAUCAGGAGGAACACCGAUGGCGAAGGCAGGUCUCUGGGCAUUAACUGACGCUGAGGAGCGAAAGCAUGGGGAGCGAACAGG
rnacentral:rRNA from 1 species